rnacentral:rRNA from 1 species
UACGUAGGGUGCAAGCGUUGUCCGGAAUUAUUGGGCGUAAAGAGCUCGUAGGCGGUCUGUCGCGUCUGCUGUGAAAACUCGGGGCUUAACCCCGGGCCUGCAAUGGGUACGGGCAGACUAGAGUGCGGUAGGGGAGACUGGAAUUCCGGGUGUAGCGGUGAAAUGCGUAGAUAUCCGGAGGAACACCGGUGGCGAAGGCGGCUUCCUGGACCGAUUACUGACGCUGAGGCGCGAAAGCUAGGGGAGCAAACGGG